GUCAGGAGUGGUGGUACAUAUCUGUAACCCCAGCUUCUGAGGAACCUGAGGCCAGCAAAUAUCUUGAGCUCUAGAUUUCUGAGAUACGUACAGUGAGUUAUGCCCAUAGGGUGUCUGUAUUAAGGUUGGCAUUAACAUAGUAAGCCCUUGGGACAGAAGGAUCUUUAGGUUGCCUAAGGAAGGAGGAAAGGGCUCAGGUACAAAAUGGAGCAAGUCAAAACUUCUAGGCUAAUUAGUAGUGAGACUGGUCUUACUACUUAUGACUAACCCUCUCACUUCCAGCUUGGGCAAGAUAGGGGGAUGCAGUCUUAU
rnacentral:SRP_RNA from 1 species